GUCUCUCAUUUAAAGUACGCUCUCAAAUCCUUGAACCAUUGUCAUGGAACUUCUGCAAAUUCUUUCCAGGUUAGAAAUCAUCGUCUUGCAUUCUGGACACAGGCAUCAAAAUCAAGAGCAGCUGCGGCCGCUGUAAAAUACUCAGCUUGCAGUUGUUGAAGCGUGCCUAUUAUUCCUUGAAAAAGGAAACAUCUGUCCCUAACUUUCCUGAACUAUGGCCUUCUUCCAAUAACGCAGACAGAAAUACUUCAGCAAGAUCUUCGGUCAACUGCAACGUUUCCAAUAAGUAAAAGCACCCAUUCAGUCGCUCCCAGAUCCUCUCCCUGAUGGCAGCUGCAUAAUUCAAGCAAUCAUUUGAUAUCUCCAAUGCAUUUAUAUCAGUAUUUGCCGUGACAACAUUGCUUUCACAUCUCCUUUACUGGGAAGGGGCCCUGUUAUUCUGAAGCACGUACUUUUUGAACCACUCCUCUUCCAGAUCCAUUAAGAUCAACAACCCUGUCAGAGAUUAGAAAAGGAUCAGCAAAUUCCAAAGACGACGCAAUGACAGGAAUAGAAGACACGAAAAAAACUGUACAAAGGGAACAACGAUUCAGAGUCCAUCUUCUCCAUGUAAGGAACCCCCAGACCGGCGGUUGUGUUGACUUGACGGCGCUACCCAUCCCUCAGCACUGACAGCGGACUAGAAGACGGAAGACCAUGGCUCUUUCGGUUGCUGGGAGUAUAACGUCAACAUCAUUUUUCAACUUGAUCUUAAGUUGUCCUCGCUCCCCCCUCAGGAGACGGUGCCUUGCGGAAGAUGCAGGCUGCUCAGAUGGCUGCGGGAAAGGAUGGGAGCACGAGCGCAUGGUUUUCGUCCCUGGCUCUGCCAGACCCCGUCUGAUGUCUGCGUAUGCACCAUAGCGCAUAUUAAUGCCUGCGUAUCAAGCCCCUCGUCUGUGAGCCUCAAGUGGUAACAUCCACAAAUAAGCAAUUAACGUAUGUCAAGCGUUUUUAUUCCUAAAACUGACACCAUUGUGGAGGUGGUAGAGCAUUGUACUGAUGACAAAAGUUACAUAACGCUCCUAUGUCAUUGCACAUAAGGUUUUAUUCCACUCUGUUUGUUGCUGGUUCUUUUAAGAGAAAUUUAUGAGAAACUAUUCGCCGACAAUUUGGACACCACUCGGUGCAUAUUUCCUCACCGGACCUUGUGCAGUCUCUGAGACAGCUGCAGACAGCCGCCGAAACCGCGGUCCCCCAGGUCCCUGCGGAGCGAGCGCUGCCCGCGCGGGCAGCAGGGCCGGGGAAGGCAGCCCUGGCGUUUGCUGCGAGCCGCGGCCCAGCCACGAGCCACUUAGAGAUGCCGACACGGGGGGCUCCGGUGCUCCCGUGCGUCCCUCACGUCUGCCCCCAGCCAGGAGGAGGGGGAACGCAGCGCGAAGGGGCCGUGGCCUCCCAUCAGCGGGAAAACGCUGCUUUCCCAGCCCAUCCGGGGCAAGGCAUAACCACGGGACACAUGAAAGCAGCUACUUUCCUCAGCAGGAGACUGCACUGAACCCAGUUCAAUAUAAGCCCUCUGGCAUGGAAGGAAAAAAAAAGAUAAAAUAAUAAGAAACCACAAAAAAAUUUAAUCCUUUCAUUAAAAGGAUAUUACUGAAAAAGCGCCAGGAGACAGCGCUUGCUUUUAAAGCAAGAGUGCUCCAUGCAUUUAAACUCACGGCUCAGUCAGGUUACUCUGUUAUGUUAAUGUCUGUAUCAAAAGCCAGAAGCUAUGUAACAGCUAAGUACAGCUAAAUUAAUAAGCAUUUCAAAAACAAACAAACUAAAAUAACCCAGCUGGACUGAAGUCAAAGGUAUUCUCUUAAAAUACAUUGCAAGGGUCACCAACAAUUAAAUAUAAUUUUAUAAUUUGGAGGAUUUGUUUACAGUGUUACUCGACCAUUAUAGCCGACACAAAGAAAAUCAUUCUCCCAUUUUUACAGAUAAGGUUGUUUGUAUAAACACGUUAAUUGCCACGCACAGACUCCUACUCCGAGGCCUGCCAAAAGGCAAAACCCGCCUGGCAAAACCUCAUCACGUGCCACUGAGGAGGGCCCAAACCUCCACGCUGCACUGCCCCAGCCUGCAGGAAGGGCCUGGCCACCUCCCGCGGCUCGCAGGGCGGCCGGGACGGCUGUCAGAGCAGACCGCCUCGCUAGCCGGCCCUGCCGGCGAGGACAAGGACAAACAAAGCUGUCUCAUGGGAAACGGGCAGCCCGUAGCAGGGUUUGACACGCUGCCGGUAAAUGAAAAUGGAAAACCAGAAAAGUAAAUUGACUCAGUAACUUCCCUAUCGCCACAUCCUUUUCACCUCCAAGAGCAUCUUGAAAAAAAAAAGAAUAUAUAUAUAUAUUUAUUUGGUGGUAGGCAGAAAAAACAAAAACCAGGCUUCCCGUAAGCAGGUAUGCCGGCAAACGGAGGAGACCCGAGCUGCCUCGCGCAGGGCUCAGCAGGUCCAGCUGCACGGGAGCAUCUUCGGCAAUCCCGGGGCUCCCCAAAGCUGCCAAGGAAAUGACUCUUCGUAAAGCAGGGAAGAGGAAGGCCCCUGCUCUGCGCAAAGGCCUCCCCCGGAGCUGCGCGAGGGCAAGCACGUUUCUGCUGCACAGCACAGGGUGACUCUCAGGGACGAGGUCACAGCGAUGGGGUAACCUUGGCUUAGUGUUUCUUCCUUUAUUUGUCUCCUCUUGGCUUUCCGGACGAAACAGCUCACGUCCCAUUUGUUACUUCACUAUACGUGUGUUUGCCCAAGGUGAGGAAAAGGUUCCGACCUGCGGCUAAGCGCUGACCUCGACUGCUUCACGAACGGACUACUUCAAUAACGAAACGGGGAAAAAUCCCAGCAGACUCGCGCUGCGCAAGAGCCGCUGGAGCGGAGAGAAGCGCAGGGAGGAGGAAGAGCUGAAGCGUGGGACAAGGAAAGGGAACAAGAGGGAAGGGCCCGAAAGGAAGGCAAGGAGAGAAGGUGGAACAGCGAGGACUGUGAAGACACGGUGGGAAAUAAACCAAGAUGAAUGAUGGGAGAUAAAAGAGAAGCACCAGAUUGAUUGUAUUUAGUCCUGACUGACUCAUAAAAGGAAGUAAUAAAUCAAAUAUCGUAUAUUCAUUUACAUCAAUGAAAAUCAAUUUGAAAGACAAUCCAAAUUAGUUUCAUACUACCCGGGCUACAGCAGCCUACAAAAUCUAGCUAGAGCUAUCAGAUAAAUGAAAAGGUCUCUUCCUUUUUGAAUAUUAUAAAUAUAUACAAGAGUUUUCAAAAAAAUUCUACUGUUUCAACUCCUACAAUAUGCAGUUGAUGUAGAUUAAAUUUAAACUUCUCAGAGUUGCUUAUCCGCUUUGGGCUAAUUUAAGCGGAUAUUGCUUUUUUGGAUGCGACUGCUCAUUUCUUGCACUUAAUUAUCACAGCAAGCAAGACUGAAGAAAACAUUGCAUACACUGCAGUACUCUUUAAUCUGGAUACUUACAGAUACUAUUGAAAGAAGAACAUAGAUCGAAAAUGCUCAGUCUUGUUUUCCUUAUCGUUUUCCUCCUGACAAGCGUUACCGUAUCUUGCAUUCUGGUUCACCGCUGCAUUUCUUAACAGUCCCUUUCAGAUCUCACACGGUUAUAACGAGUGAUUCCCCACCUAUUUGACCAUGGUUCACCUACACUUAGUUUAUGGUGUUUCAAUAGUGUAUUUGGCACUUUCGCCACCAUGAACUGUCAUUAAGUUGUAAAUCAACUGAAAUAUUAUUAAUUGAAAAAUCUAUUUUAAAAUGUAUAACAGUGCAUCAGAGAAUACUGCAAAUAAAGAUAUCCUCUUACUAA